CAGGUGGUGCAUGGUUGUCGUCAGCUCGUGUCGUGAGAUGUUGGGUUAAGUCCCGCAACGAGCGCAACCCUUGUGUUUAGUUGCAAACAGGUCAAGCUGUGCACUCUAGACAGACUGCCGUGGACAACACGGAGGAAGGUGGGGAUGACGUCAAAUCAUCAUGCCCCUUAUGAUCUGGGCUACACACGUGCUACAAUGGCCGGUACAACGGGCAGCGAAGGAGCGAUCCGGAGCGAAUCCUAAAAAGCCGGUCCCAGUUCGGAUUGCAGGCUGAAACUCGCCUACAUGAAGUUGGAGCUGCUAGUAAUCGCGAAUCAGAAUGUCGCGGUGAAUGCGUUCCCGGGUCUU
rnacentral:rRNA from 1 species